CCAUUUGUUUUUCUAAUUUUUUUCUUUUUACAGAGAAAACUCCAACUACUUUUAGCCAAUGAUAGAUUCACCAGUCAUAGUUCCGUGCAAAUCUUGAACAGUUCUUUAGCUCUUUUCCUUUCUCCCUCUCAGUGGCAGAUUUGGCUAACAUAAGAUUCCAAGAAACUUCUGCAAAUUGUAAAGAAAUCUGAAUUGAGGACCCUUGCAAAAAUACAGUCCCAUGGACUCAUUACCAUCAUACCAGCAUAUGGAGGCUAUGUCUUUGACUAUCUGUAAUAGCAAGCAAAGCUACUUUGGGUUGCAAGUGAAUGUCAGGAACAAAUUUGGAUAUCCAGCCCACCUGCAUAUGGCCAUUGCAUCUUGAUAAUUUUGUGUCCGGUAGCAAGGUCCCCCCGUGUGGGACGAAGGUAGUAUAAUAGGUUUUUCCCACCAUUGAGCAAUUUGAAUCUCCACGCACAACUGCAUCCAUCAAUCCACCAAAAAGAUCAGCCCUGAGUUAUGUUUGAUUAUUGCGGAUGUACCUAAAUCUUGUUGUUCAUCUUGUAUUCCAAAUAUACUUACAACAAAACUUUGAACAUCUUUGUAAGAAAAUAA